GGCUCAUAGUUCCUUCCCAAGGCUAAGACAAGACCCUCAACUCAAAAGUAUAACCGUUAAUUGAAUUCUUUAGAAGUGGAACUUCUAAUUAAGUCAAACAAGCAAGAGGUGCCUGGGUGGCUCAGUUGGUUGAGCGUCCAACUUUGGCUCAAGUCAUGAUCUCGCGGUUCGUGGGUUCGAGCCCCGCGUCAGGCCCUGUGCUGACAGCUCAGAGCCUGGAGCCUGAUUCUGAUUCUGUGUCUCCCUCUCUCUAUCCCUCCCUCACUCAUGGUUUCUCUGUCUCUGUCUCUGUCUCUC